UUUCUAUCAUCAGACUUAGUCUCAGUCCGUCAGAACCAGGACUGGUCUUUAUUCACAUAUAAGAAUCACUCCAAGGAUCAUAAGUGUGCUGUAAUAGCUGAGCAUCAUGUAACUAGCUAUUAAUAGUAACGUCUAGUAUGAAGUAAAACACUUCCAUCAUUAAAUGAUUUUUAUAUUUUAUUUAUGACAAAAAUUGAUGUUAAUUACAAUAAUUAUCUUUGUUAUUGUCGAGAUGGUUUC
rnacentral:lncRNA from 1 species